AGCGAACGCUGGCGGCAUGCUUAACACAUGCAAGUCGCACGGUCAGCAAUGGCAGUGGCGGACGGGUGAGGUAACACGUAGGAAUCUAUCCUGGGGUGGGGGACAACAGCGGGAAACUGCUGCUAAUACCGCAUGAUACCUGAGGGUCAAAGGCGCAAGUCGCCUUAGGAGGAGCCUGCGUCUGAUUAGCUUGUUGGUGGGGUAAAGGCCCUACCAAGGCGACGAUCAGUAGCUGGUCUGAGAGGAUGAUCAGCCACAUUGGGACUGAGACACGGCCCAAACUCCUACGGGAGGCAGCAGUGGGGAAUAUUGGACAAUGGGCGAAAGCCUGAUCCAGCAAUGCCGCGUGUGUGAAGAAGGUCUUCGGAUUGUAAAGCCCUUUCGACGGGGACGAUGAUGACGGUACCCGUAGAAGAAGCCCCGGCUAACUUCGUG
rnacentral:rRNA from 1 species